rnacentral:pre_miRNA from 1 species
AAUGUACUCCCUUCCUUCCAUAAUUCUUGUUGAAAUCUUGCAUGUAUCUAGACACUUUUUAGAAAUAGAUACAUUCAUUUUUAAACAAAUUUGAGACAAGAAUUAUGAAACGGAGUGAGUAUAUG